UACUCUUUCCAUUUCUUUUUUUUUUUUUUUCCUUUAUUUUUAUGUAGUGCUGAGGAUUGAACCCAGUGCCUUACAUGUGCAAGGCAAGCGCUUUGCCACGGAGCCACAGUCCGGCCCUCUCUUUCCACUUCUUUAUAUCUGUUUUAGGUCUGCACACACUUGUCUAGUCUACCUCCAGGUCACUGGGUUUCGUAUACCUAUGUGGCAAGUUGGAGUCAGCUCCAACUGGGAAAAACCUGAUAUGUCUACAACUUGCCAACACCCACAGCCUUCAUGCUGGUGGUACUAGAGCAGUACAUAAGCUCAGUCAAUUCUGAACAGUUUGCAUGAUAGUGAACUUAUGAAAAUGUAGAAAGGUUCUUCUAUUCACCAGUUACAUGGACACCCCAUAUUUGUCCUUCUAGAAGAAAAAUGUCUAUUUCUGUCAAUGGAUCUAUAGGGCAAAGACCUCAGUCUGCAAACCAGCCCAGGUGUUAAGAACAGUUGCAAACAUAGAUAGCCCCUGGUACCAUUCACCUUCCCUAUGCCGCUGUGCCUUCAGGCCUUCUAGAACAUAACAGCACAGCCGUAUGUCUAAAAAUAGGAGAGAAUAAGUGGGGUCUGCCUGUUCUGGUAGGAGAAAAGAACGUCAAAGAAAGCAGCUGGGACUAAUGAACUCUCCAUUAGCCGUAUUCCAUUCUUUGAACCUGAGUCAAAUGUCGGUCCCCAUUAGGCAAUUGGCUUUGACAAGAGCUGUGCUAAUUACCACUUAGCAACCUUUAAUUUCUGGGUAAAAGCAAGAGGAAAAAAACUAAUGGAUUUUUCAUUUUCCAGAGAGAAAGGAAUAAAAUAAUAGUAGUCUAUUUAAAAAAAAAACUGUUAAUUACAAGAAUUAUUAAUGUGCCUUUACUCACCAGAUUGUUUAGCUGCUUAAUUUCCUAAUUAGCUGUUCAAUUCAUUUUCCUUUAGUUUGUCUCUCGCUUGCUUUAUUUUAUUUUUUAUUUUUUUGUAGACUGAGCUACAUCCCCAGUCUUUCUUUUUUUUUUCCACUUUAAUUUUGAGACAGG
rnacentral:lncRNA from 1 species